rnacentral:rRNA from 1 species
GAUGAACGCUGGCGGCGUGCCUAAUACAUGCAAGUCGAGCGAACAGACGAGGAGCUUGCUCCUCUGACGUUAGUGGCGGACGGGUGAGUAACACGUGGAUAACCUACCUAUAAGACUGGGAUAACUUCGGGAAACCGGAGCUAAUACCGGGUAAUAUAUUGAACCGCAUGGUUCAAUAGUGAAAGACGGUUUUGCUGUCACUUAUAGAUGGAUCCGCGCCGCAUUAGCUAGUUGGUAAGGUAACGGCUUACCAAGGCAACGAUGCGUAGCCGACCUGAGAGGGUGAUCGGCCACACUGGAACUGAGACACGGUCCAGACUCCUACGGGAGGAAGCAGUAGGGAAUCUUCCGCAAUGGGCGAAAGCCUGACGGAGCAACGCCGCGUGAGUGAUGAAGGUCUUCGGAUCGUAAAACUCUGUUAUUAGGGAAGAACAAAUGUGUAAGUAACUAUGCACGUCUUGACGGUACCUAAUCAGAAAGCCACGGCUAACUACGUG